UAAGAAAUAACUGCCUCUCAAUAGUGCUCUUACAUCUACCGGGAACAUCUCUCACAAAGAUCUGUGAAACGCAGUUUCUUCCCAGCCUUGAUCUUGCUGAAGUAGAACUUCUGUUCUGCCGUGUCCUACAUUGCCCUAGAGUUGCAAGGCAAAAUGUCCUGCAUUGUUUCCUAAAGGCAGGCAAACCAGAAAGCAUCUUGCUUCCAGCUGGUUUGGAAGGUAAGAAGCAACUCACUCUCCACAGUGCUCUUAGAGCCUACCGUGAACAUCUCUUACAAAGGCCUGUGAAACGCACUUUCUUCCCAUCCCUGAUCUGGCUGAAGAAGACCUUCAGCUCUGUGGUGUAAUACAUUGCCCUAGAGGUGGAAGUCACAAAGCCCUGCCUGGCAAACUCAAGAGGAGACAGGCCACAGACUCUCUUGAUUCCAUCUCUUUUGCAAUUUGAGAAAGAUCUCACUUUUCCCUGGGCUGUUACAGCCUGCCGGGAACCUCUAAUACAAAGACCUGAAACACAGUUUGUUUCCAGCCCUGAUCUCACCCCGUAGGAACAUCUGCUCUGAGCCGUGUUCCACAUUGCUCUAGAGGUGGAAGUCUCACAGCGCUGAUUCAUUGCCUCCAAAGUAGACAGGCCACAAACCGUCUUGCUUGAAGCUUUUUGGGAAGCUAAGAAACAACAGGCUCUCCACAGUGCUCUUACACCCAACCAAAAACAUCUCUCACAAAGGCCUGUGAAACGCAGUUUCUUCCCAGCCCUGAUCUCACUGAAGUAGAACUUCUGCUCUGCCGUGUCCUACAUUGCAUUAGAGGUGCAAGGCACAAAAUCCUGUCUUGAUUCCACAACAGGAGGCAGGCCAAAAUUCGUCUUGCUUCCAGCUCUUGGGGAAGCUAAGAAACAACUCGCUCUCCACAGGGACUUCUGCUCUGGGUGUGCUACUUUGCCCUAGAGCUGAAAGGCACAACGUGCAGGCUUCUUUCCAAAGGGCGAGUUGGGCCCCACAGCAUCUUGCUUCCAGCUCUUUGGGAAGCUAAGAAACAACUCGCUCUGCACAGUGCUCUUACAGCCUGGGAACAUCUCUUCCAAAGGCCUGUGAAACGCAGUUUCUUUGCAGGCCUGAUCUCGCUGAAGUAGAACUUCUGCUCUGGGUGUGCUACAUUGCCCUAGAGCUGCAAGGCACAACGUGCAGGCUUCUUUCCAAAGGGCGAGUUGGGCCCCACAGCAUCUUGCUUCCAGCUCUUUGGGAAGCUAAGAAACAACUCGCUCUGCACAGUGCUCUUACAGCCUAGGGA
rnacentral:lncRNA from 1 species